ensembl:snRNA U6 U6 spliceosomal RNA
CUGGUCUCUUCAGCAGCACAUACACUACACCUGGAAUGAUACAGAGAAGGUUAGCAAGACCCUCACUCAAGGAUGGCACCCAAAUUCAUGAAGCAUUCCAUAUUUUG